AAUGAACGCUGGCGGCAUGGAUUAGGCAUGCAAGUCGAACGAGAACUAACAGCUUGCUGUUAGAGAGAGUGGCGAAAGGGUGAGUAACGCGUGAGUAACCUACCUUCAAGUCGGGGAUAACAGUUGGAAACGACUGCUAAUACCGGAUGUGGUUAUGUUGGGGAGUCCUGACUUAACUAAAGAACUUUGCUUGAAGAUGGGCUCGCGUUCCAUUAGUUAGUUGGUGAGGUAACGGCUCACCAAGACCGCGAUGGAUAGCUGGUCUGAGAGGAUGAUCAGCCACACUGGGACUGAGACACUGCCCAGACUCCUACGGGAGGCUGCAGUCGAGAAUCUUCCGCAAUGCACGAAAGUGUGACGGAGCAAUGCCGCGUGUGGGAUGAAUGCCUUCGGGUUGUAAACCACUGUCACUAGGGACGAAGAUCUGACGGUACCUAGAGAGGAAGCCACGGCUAACUACGUGCCAGCAGCCGCGGUAAUACGUAGGUGGCGAGCGUUAUUCGGAUUUAUUGGGCGUAAAGGGUCCGCCGGUGGUUACUUAAGUCUGAUGUGAAAGCCUAUGGCUCAACCAUAGAAUUGCAUUGGAAACUGA
rnacentral:rRNA from 1 species